CAGCGCUCGGCCUCCUCGACUCCUCGCUGCGCUAGGGUUUGGAGGCGGCGUGAGGUCCGGGAGGCGACGCGAGGUCCGGGAGGCGGCUCUAGGGUGGAGAUCCAGGAGCAGCAUAUCUCCAGCCGCUGCCGCUCUCCAUCCCGCCCUCGGUCGCCGACGAUCUCCAUCCAGCUUCAGCCGCCACCGGUCUCCAUCCCGUCCUCAGCCGCCGCCGGUCUCCAUCCCGCUUCAGCCGCCGCCACCGCUCUCCUUCCCGCUCUCCAUCCCAGCCAGUCGCCGGCGCUCGCCAUCUCUCCUUCCUCGCUUCGGAUUCACCGGUUGCGGGAGAGGGCAAGGUCGAGGGCAACAGCCCGGACACCAAGAAGCAGGAGAGGCACAGGCGUGUGGGGUUGGCAAAAGUAAAGCUGAAGGAGUUGAUAUUACUCAAGUGAUAAAAUCAGUUCGAGAAUGGCGGAUGAAAUUAAAAGGAGGAGAGAAGAGGACGAUGAUAUGAUGCUUUUUGUUUUUCCUGCGAUGUAUAUGCUGUGCGGUAUGACAAAUAGUGAGAAAAUACCUAGACAUAUCUCAAGACUAUCCGGUAAAGAGCGGCUUCAAGAAAUCCUUGAAGGACAUGUAAUGGAUUGUAAAGUUGCAUUCCGCAUGGAGCCUCAUGUUUUCAAGACAAUAGCGAAUUAUCUUAGAGAGGAAAAGUUGUUAAAGGAUAGUAGAGGCUUGAGGAUUGAGGAGAAGCUUGGGAUAUUUAUGUUCAUGCUCGCUCACAAUGCAAGCUUUCAAGAUCUACAGUAUGAAUUCAAGCAUAGUGGGUCUACACUUCAUCGGCAUAUUAAGUCUAUUUUCAAGAUAAUCCCAGCUCUCACCUAUAGAUUUCUCAAGCUUCCUCAUGCCGACCAAACGCAUUGGAAGAUUAGAACAAAUCCUCGCUUCUUUCCUUACUUCAAGGUGAAUCUGGCACUCAAACUAGAAAUGAAUAUCUAUUCCUUUUCCAAUUAAAUAACUCAUGCAUAUUCUGUCCUUUUCUUCCCUUUUUGCUGCAGAAUUGCAUAGGGGCUAUUGAUGGCACUCACAUUCCUAUAACUAUAGAUGGAGAGAAGGCAGCUCCUUAUAGGAACAGAAAAGGGACUUUGAGCCAAAAUGUGAUAGUUGCUUGUGAUUUCGACCUAAAUUUCACUUUUAUCUCAUGUGGUUGGGAGGGGUCUGCAACCGAUGCUAGGGUCCUUAGAUCAGCAAUGAAUAGUGGCUUUCAAGUCCCAAAUGGUAAAUUUUUUCUAGUAGAUGGUGGUUAUGCCAACACACCAUAGUUCAUUACUCCUUAUCGUGGUGUUCGGUACCAUCUAAAGGAGUUUGGACGUGGUCAUCGUAGACCUAGAGACUACAAGGAGUUAUUCAAUCAUCGCCAUGCCAUUCUGAGAAACCAUGUAGAGAGAGCUCUAGGGGUUCUAAAGAAGCGAUUUCCCAUCCUGAAAGUAGGCACUUUCCAUCGGAUAAAGAACCAAGUGCGGAUUCCAGCAGCUGCUGCGGUGUUCCACAACAUGAUCCGGUUGCUUAAUGGUGAUGAGGGCUGGUUGGACAACCAACCUGAUAAUAUAGAACCUACUAAUUUUGUCGAUCUACCAGAAGGUGACAGUGAAUACCGAAAUGAUGUGCCAUCUCUUAGCAAUCAAAUGAUCAGUGGGAAUAAUAUUAGAGAUAUGAUUGCUAAGAAGAUGUGGGAAGAUUAUGUUCGUAACUAGCAAGAAUAGUAUAGAUAAUAUUUUGGUUUUGCAUUAUUUGUAUUUAUUUAUGCAAUCAACAUUUAUGAUAUGGACAAAUUAAUAGUAAGCAACGUAGUUUGUAUUUUCUCAUUCAAUAAAAUAUUGCAAUAUAGUUAUGAUGUUUGGAAGACUAUCUCCGAAAGCAAGCCUAUUGCAGCAGCAACAAAGGCAUCUACAAAAGAAGGCAUCACCAAAGAGCUGUAGCAUACAGAAGAAGAAGGUUUCUCCAAAAGGUAGUAUCUAACUUGUUUUUUUGUGAAGUAUUUUCCUUUCAUAUUAAUGAUUA